rnacentral:misc_RNA from 1 species
UAGGCGUGUUGCCAUUGCCACG